rnacentral:lncRNA from 1 species
UAGUUUUUAGGGAAAACUUCAAAAACCCCUCUGUGGUUUCACACUUUUUCAUUUUAGUACCUUGUGGUUUAAAGUGUAUCAAGUUAGUACCCUGUGGUUUCUCACUUUAUCACUUUAGUACCCUGUGGUUUAAAGUGUAUCAAAUUAGUACCCUGUGGUUUUGUACUUUAUCACUUUAGUAGCCUGUGGUUUCACACUUUAUCACUUUAGUACCCUAUAGUUUAAAAAACCACAGGGUACUAAUUUGAUACAAAAUCAAAACCACAGAGUACUAAAGUGAUAAAAUGCAAAACCACAGGGUACUAACUUGAUACACUUUAAACCACAGGGUACUAAAGUGAUAAAGUGAGAAACCACAAGGUACUAACUUGAUACAUUUUAAACCACAGGGUACUAAAGUGAAAAAAAUUAAAACCACAAGGGGGUUUUUUGAAGUUUUCCCUAGUUUUUAUUACUCAUUAGUUUAUCUAUAAAAGGGUUAGAUACACUUAACUCAAAGCACAAGAAAAUUCUCACGAAGCUCAAGGUCAUUUGCUGCAACUCUAAAAGAGCAAUGUCAACAGUAUUGACUUAUUUUAAUUUAUUUUAUUUUUCUUUUUAUAUAUGUACAACAGGUAUAAGCAAGAACUAGCUAUUACAGGGAUAGGUACAAGUAUGGGGAUAAGAAAAAUAGCGUUUGGAUGAAAAUUGGGUUGUUCCCGAGGAUAAGAAAAAUAUUAGGAAGUUUUAUAUAGAAAAUGGAGGUGUUGGUGGGUAUAAGCGAGAACUACUAUUCUCGGAUAAAAAAUUAGCGUUUGGGUAUAAAGGGGGGAUAAGGGCAUAUCCCUAUCCCUAUUCCCAAACCAAACAGUGCCUUAAUAUUUAGUAAGAGUUAUAAUAGUAGGUUGUGAACAACAAACAUAUAUAGUGGUUUGUCACCUCUAUAGAUAUCUAGUGACAUUAUUUGAUACAUUCCGAACAAUUUAAGUUGUCAUUUGUGACACUUCAAAAUUUAAAAUAACUAUAUAUGUAUAAAAUAUAAUAGGGCUAAAUUUUUUAUAUAUCUCGACUUUUUUUUUUGAGAGAGAUAGAUAGCAUGCUACUCGUUUCGUUUAUUUCAUUUAUAAAUAGGCUUAGCUGAGAAUGUGAUCAACUAGGAUUCGAACUUAGGAUCUCGGAUACCAACCGCCAAGCCCUUUGCCACUUGCGCUAGAAACAGUCGAUCUCUUAUUCUGACUAUAAUAUGUAAAAAAGUGUAGUUCUAAAAUAAAUAUACUGACACACACUCUGGAAAGCAAGAUGUCACUUAAUGAUGCUACGCCACAGCACAUGCCCUAAUAUUUGCGCGAAACGAGACAAAUAAGUCUCAUAGUUUAGAGUAUUUGAUAUAUAUCAACCUGCUAUUCUAAGUAGUUGUGAUAUAUACAAAAAAAAGUGUUUAUAAUUAAUGAACUGGCAUUUUGUCUUAUGUUAUUUAAUUAUGUUGUUAUAAUUUUCCUAAAAUUUUUGUCACCUUUCUAAUUUGCUGAACUCGUCCCCUCUGUCGCCUUAUUCGAACAGAAUGCCGCUUAUUCUCUUGUCUUCGCCUCAGCCCACAAUUACCGUCCGCAUAAUUAAUUUAGGAAAAAUUUCCAAUACCACCCCUAUAAUUUCGUAUUUUUUUAAUUUUACUACUUUACUGUUUAAAGUGUAUCAAUUUAGUACCCUGUUAUUUUAUUUUUCUCUUUUUAUUAUUUCCUCCACUAUUUUUUUUCGUUAAAUCAAUGACAAAGUUAAAAUUAAAAGAUACAAAAGUGAAUAUUUGAUAAACUUAGGUAGAAUAUCUGAAGUUUUUUGUAUAUAAUUUAAGAAAUGUUAAUGGAGGAGCUGAAAAAAAAAAAAAUCAUAGGGUACUAAAUUGAUACACCUUAAAUAACAAGGUAUUAAAGUGAGAAAGUGCCAAAUCGUAGCGGAAGAGCUGACAAAGAGAGAAAAAUAAAACUAUAGGGUACCAAAUUGAUAUACUUUAAACCACAUGGUAUUAAAGUGAGAAACUGCAAAACCACAGAGGCGGCAUUUAAAAGUUUAUCCAUUAAUUUAUAAGAUAAAGGACGAAGUUGCAAAUUAAAUAAAACAAAGGCCUUUUUGCAUAAUAAGUUCAUUUAUUUUGUGCUUUUGCAAAUCUUACCAAUUCUUUUUUUUUGAAUCUUACUGAUUCGGUCCCUUUUUUUAAGAAAUAGGACUAAAUUGACUCUCUUCCGACAUAUAAGAUAAAAUAUAUAUUAAAUUUUUUGAAAAGUAUAAUAAAUAAAUUAUAAUUAUAAAUGUAUUUUUUUCCGGAGCAACGAGAACUCCAUCUAAUACAAACAUAGAAAGCUAAAUACAGUAAGUAAAAAAAAGGUGUAUAAUAUAUUCUUCUAAAUAGUAUAAUAUAUUUUAUUAUUUUUAUAAAUAUUACACAAUUUUUAUAAUAUAUUAUAAUAUAUUAUACGAUUUGCAGAUAAUAUUAUAACAUUAUUCGUAACAUAUUAUAUAGAUUGUACAGUAUAAUUUGACACUUUAUUUUAAUAUAUAAAAAUAAUAUAAUAUAUGAUGAAGAAAUAGUACAAUAUACUUUUAUACUUUUCUUAAUAGUGCGUAGAUUAUCUCCUAAAUAAUAUAAUAUUUGUACAAUUGAUGCAAUAUUUAUAUGUAUUUAUAUAAAUAUAUAUUACACAAUUUGUGUAAUACAUUAUAACAUAUUAUACUGUUUGUACAUGAUAUAAUCCAUAAUUGAUAAUAUUGUGUAUAAAUUAUACAAUAUUCAAAUAAAUGAUGCAAAUAUCAUAUCAUUCUAUAUAAAUGAACUUGCACUAUUUAGAAUUAAAUAUUGCACAGUUUACAAGGAUUUCGUGCUCUUUUUUUAUUUAUUUAUAUAGUUUUUUUAUUUUUAUAUUAGAUGAAGUUUUCGUUUUUUAGAAAAAAAAAAUACAUAUAAUUAUAAGUUUAUAACUUGUCUAUUGCAGGUUUCAGGAAAGUCAAUAUACAUAAUUGAUUUGUAUAUUUGAAGAGGGGUAAUUUCGUUAUAUUUCUUAAAAAAUAUUCAAAUCUGCAAAAUUAAAAGAGGAUCAGAUUUGUGAAAUACAAAAUCAGUAAAUUUUUUAUGUAGAAAGGUCAAUAAAGAAAGAGAACUUCAUAAUUAAAAAUAUUUAGUGCAACUAAUUCUAGUAUUUCUUAAUAAAAAAAUAAAAAAUAAAAAGGGUAACGGAUAUUUUUCCAAUUUUUGUCGGCUAUUAAUUUGAGUUUGAUUUUACAUAACAAAAAGAUGAAUGGUGAUUAAAAAAAAGAAAGAAAAAAACCAGAGAGAAGCAGCUUAUUAUAAAAUUGAGGCCUUAAAACUUAUUUAUUUUAGGGCAAACUUCAAUUUGUCUACGGCGGUUUAGUUUAUUUUUCACUUUAUCAUCUUGUGGUUCAAAAAAUUAUGUUUAAAUAUGAGUUUAUCUUUAUUUUAUUCAAAAAAUUUAAUAUUAAGGCUAAAUUACAAAAAAAAACUUCUUAUAAAUAAAAUACCCAUUUUUUCACUUUUCCUUCUUAACUUUCAGAAACCUAUAUUUUACCUCAUCAACAUUUCAAAUUGUUGCAUUUAGCCCUUCUUUGUUAGAGUUUCAUCCCUCUUCUGUCCAUUUCGUAUAAUUUAUAUCAAAAAUGCCCUUCAAAAUGGCAGAUAUAUAUUUUAAAAUUAUUUUUUUAUAGAAGGUGUAAAGGAAAUUUGGUCAUUUUGUCAUCUCCAUUAACUUCGUAUCCUCCUGAAAAUAUUUCUGAAAUUUUAAAGAAAUAAAAUAUAGAUUUUUAAAAGGCAGGGGGAAAAGUAAAAAAGUGAAUAUCUAAACAAACUUAGCUAGAAUUGUGAAGUAACUAACUAAGCUUCGAGCUUGAGACUUAGGAUACCAACCACCAAGCCCUUUACCACUUGCGCUAAGCACGGUCAAUAAAUUAAACAAAAGUAAAGUAUGAUUUUUUGAAUUAUAGAGUGGUAAAGUAAAAACUAGCUAAACCACGAGAGGAAACAAAUUAAAAUUUACCAUUUAUUUUAUUAUUUUGGGUGAAUUGCACUGCUAGCUACCAAGCUUUUUGAAAUUUUACUUGUUAGUAGAUUUAAAUUUGUUUCAAUGAUCAGGACACUAAGUUUUAAUUUUGAUUUCCAAUAAGUCACUGCUUUAAAGUCCAAUCAAAUUUUCUGAUGGAGCAAUCAUCGCUGAUUUUAAGCUAUUAUUGUUGUAAAUAAUAACAAGCGAGCAUAUUCAAAGAGAGAUUAAGGAAUUAGAUGUGGUCUGUUGGUCGAGACGUGUGAAGUACUGUUCUACAAGCAAGAUUGUCUCUUUAUAUGCAAGGCUCCGUCAAUCAUUUCUAAAUAUAACAAUCACAGGAACGUCUCCAAAGUAGCACAAUGUAAGCCAAGCAGACUCUCAGCAAUCCAACAAAAAUUGAUGAAAAAUCAAUAGCAAGUAGAAGGCUCCAGUUUUGAAAAAAAUUGGUAGAAAAUAAAGCAAUAGUAAAGGAAGGUGCCUUGCACUAUGCUCCUCUCUCUCUCUCUCUCUCUCUCUCUCUCUCUCUCUCUCUCUCUCUCUCUCUCUAUAUAUAUAUAUAUAUAUAGGGCAAUUACUUAUAUACCCCAAAAAAGUUCUCAACUUUUGAUUUAUUCUUCUUAGAAGGUCUUUUUUACAUUCUAACCUAUUUCAAAUAUAUCCCUAAAGUUAAAUUUUAUUAAUGACACUACAACAAAAACGGUCUAUAGCGACACUUUUAAAUAUUGGUAUAAGUUAAAAAAAGUACUGCUGGCUAAAUUACCAACAUUUUUAAAAAAUAUUGUUAUAUGUGGGGUCGCUAGGUAUAUAGUGACAGUUAAAGAGUGUCGCUAUAAUCUAAAAGAGUGCUGCUAAUUUACCAAUAUUUAUUUAAGCAUCUAACAACCGCCGGAACUCUAUCUCGUUGGCUGCGGUGGCGGAGGAGGACGAGAGGAAGGGAUCUUCGUCUAGGAUUUCAGUUGAUUGAGUGAGGGGAGAAGGGGAAAUGGUAAUCGAUUUUUCUUUUUUUUUUUCUUUUCUUUCUUGUUUUUUGUUUAUAAUCAGGCCAAAUGAGCUGGGUGGGGUGGGUUGAGUAGAGUACCCUUUUAUUUUUGGUUGGAUUAGACUUUAUAUUUAGGCAUUAGUACGUAUUUUUUUAAGUUUUGGCAUAAAUGUGACAUUUACACAAAAGUGUCCUAAACAUGUGUCCCUAUAACCUAAUUCUGUAGUAGUGUGAAUUAUUAACAAUAGCUGUUAUCUUUAUAAAAUUACUAUUUUGUCUUUUCAAAUUAUAUAUUUCUAUCAUCACAAGCUUUUCUUAUUUGCUCUUAAGUUAGGGGCACAAAAGUAUUUUGAUUUUUGGUUUUUUCAAAUAUACCCUUCUACCAUAGGGAUGUCAAUGGGUACGAAUACCCAAAAUUUUAUCUGAAUCCGAAUUCGAACCCGAAUGGAGCGAAUUUACUCGAUGCUAAAUGAAUAUGGUUUCGGAUAUGGAUAUCAAAAAUAAAACCUGAGGAAUAUGGAUAUGGAUAUGGAUAUGGAUUUGGAUUUUGACUGUACCCGACCCGAACCCGAACCCAACCCAAAUCCGAUCCGAACCCGAAUUUAUUUUACAUUAUAUAUAAUAUGUCUAUGAAAAUUUUAAUAUUAUAUUUGAAUUUAUAUUUUAAAAAUUUAAAUUUAAUAUAAUAUAUUUUAAAAUAUUGAAAAAAGAAAUAAUUGUAUCGGGUUCAGAUUUCGGGCUUUUGGUCGGGUUCGGAUUUGAAUAUUGAUUUUUAAAAUCUGUCCGGUUCGGGUUCGGAUUCAGAUUUUUGAAAAUCCGCCCCGAACAUGGGCUAAUUCUAAGUGUAGAGCAAGGUAACCAGUACAUGGGCUGCAAGAGUACAGGAAUUUUAAUGGGCAUUGAAGAGAGCUUGUUUAGUGAAAGAGCUGAGGAGUGAGAAAUCCAAAAAAGGGCUCGGAUUAAAACUACUUUAUAUACGGUAAAGUGUAAUUUUCUUUUAAUUAGCGAAUUGUUAUCAUGUAUUAGAAUAUUCUUCUUUUAUUUCAUUAGCACAUCUAGUUUUGGAGUUUCUGUUUCAUAGUAAUAUUUAUUUUGUUUGUUUUAGUGCAAAACCCUAGUAAUUGAUUUCAAGAUUCCUGCUUCGAAAUUUUGAAGAGAAGGAAAGGUAUUUCCUCUCUAGAGAACUGCAAACUAUUAGUUAUAAUCAUGGAAAUAAUCGAAAAUUUAUUAGCAUUUUUACUCGAAAAAGUUAUUUAAAACAUACUUUAUGAUAUUUUAAUAGAAAUAAAAACAUAGUAUGUUAACAUUGGGCAUCUCAAUAUUGGGUUUCAUCAAAUAUGGUUAAUUAGGAGAGAUUAAUUGGGUUGGUACAAUUAACAAUUAGAAGCUGAUAAUGAAAUAACAUCUUAGAAACUCCUAUGGGAAACAACACAUAUCCUAAGAAGAAAAAAAGUUUAAGACAUGAUUCUAUAUUUUUGUUUCUAUACAUGAGUAAAAGGGUAAGGAAACCUUUAAUUUCAUACUCUUUUAUUAUUUAAAUUUAUAAUGUUUAAAGUUAUUAAUUUUAAUAGAUGCAUAUUACAUAUUAAUUUAUUAUUUUUAAAAUCAAUAUUUACGAAGAUCUAUAAACAUGCAUAUUCAUUCUACGUGAGUUAUUUCAUGAAUUUUUUAUUUUAAAUACUAUUAAAAAUAUAUAUAACAUAUAUAUCCAUUAAAAUAAGUUAUUAAGAAUUCUUGCUCUAUUAUUCCGAUAGUCCCUAAUUCAAGUGGACAGGAUUUGAUUGUUGACACUCGACAUUCCAAAUUCAAAGUCAAUUCAUUUCUAAAAAAAAAUCUUGCUCUACUAAAUUAAAAUUUAAUUUAAAAUUAAAUUGUAUGAAUUAAAAUUAAAAUAAAUAGAAAAAGUUCAUAAUAAAAUUAAAAUUUAGAACUAUCAAUUUAUAACUAUAUAUUCUUUGCUUUUGGAAAGACACCAAUCAUAUGAUAUAUAGUUUUAUAAGUGUACACUUUUACUUAAGUUGUGCUUGUACGAAAUUAUAUUUGUGUCAUCUCAGCUAAUUAAUUUUGUUCUAGUAUUUUGUGCAUAUUGCUGCUUUAUGGAAAGUAAGAAUUUAAAACUAUGCGUUUUUGUACGUUAUAACUGCUUAAAAUGUACUUAUUAUUAUACAUAUAUACCUUUUAUUGUAAAAAUAUUUAAUUAAUAAAGCAAACACUCUUCACGCAACAUUAAAUAAUUCUACAACAUUUAUUUUUUCUUUAGUGAUGUUUGGUAAAAUAGACAUCAUGCCAAUUUUGAAUGAAAUAAAUAACUCUAAUUACAUUAGAGAAAGGGAAAAUUAGAAAAGUUUCAUAGUGUGGUGGUGUGGAAUCAAUGUUCUAUCUUUUCCUAUAUAUUCAUUGAAACUGUUGUCUUCAAUAAUAUGUAUUUGUAGUAUCUGUUAGGAUUUGGUUAGAUUUGUAGUUGAAUCCUAAUUGGAUUAGGAUUAAUAUUUAAAUAUGUUGGAGAUAAAUUAAGAUUUAAAUAUUAAUUAGAGUAGAAAUCUAAUUAGAUAAGAAUUUAGGUAGCUUUUAAUGUAAACUAUAAAUAUAGUAUACGUGCUAUUAUCGUCACUACUACAAAAUCAUCAUUUAGCGUCAUUUACUCUGCAGCAUUUAUCUAAAUGAUGCUAAUUAAUAUAUUUAACGGCAUUACUUGAUAAUUGCCGCUAAAUUUAAUAGUUUAACAGCAUUUUACUAUUAAUGCUGCAAAAUAACAUAAAUUAGCAGCAUAAAUUAGUAAAUGCCGCUAAUGUUGCCGGCAUUUUCUAAAAAAUGAUGCUAAAUGCAAUANUAGCAUUUAACAGUCCUUUUAGCGGCAUAUUUUAAAUGACACUAAUUAAUUCACAAUAGCAGCAUUUAUAGCAUAUGCUGCUAAUACUUUUAGCAACAUUGGUAUAGGCGGCAUUUAGUGUUAUGUGCUGCUAAAAGCUUUAGCAGCAUAUGUCGAACUUUUAGCAGCAUAUAUAAAUGCUGCUAAAGGCGAAUUUUCUAGUAGUGCGUGGUGGUGAUGUACGGAUUAGCUACACCCAUAUGACAUGGCCAAGGUGGUCAUGAUUUUGGAUGCACCUAAUGCAUGGGUGCAAGAAGACGUGAGCGACUUUCGUAGCGGUAGGUCAUUUAUAUACCUUGUGCACGAUUGCACAGGAUGAGAGGGAGAUGUCUUCUGAGACUAUAAAAGACGAGAGAAAGGUAUGAGAGAUUCAAAAAGAGGACUCGGAUUGUAGUUAUUCUGUUACAGAAGAGGAGUCAGGUGUAAUCUUCUCUUAUUUAAUAAAUCUUAUUUUACCCACAUAUUUUUUAUUUGUUUGUUUUCUCUCUUUUAUGUUGUAUCAGGUUCUGAUGAGGAGACGGGUUUAUGGUAAGAAUCCGAUUCGACGCUUCCAUUGCAGAAUCCCAACAAUCGGUUCCAGAUCAAUAACAGUCGGUAUCGGAGCGGGUUGCGGAUUCUCAAAAUCCAGUACCGGGGCGAAUACCGGAUUCCCAACAGUAUCUAUAUGAACCAGCAAAUGACCUAACUAAAGCAAUAUAUUUAUUUAAAUCAUUAAUAUUAUUCGUUUAAUUUGGUAAAUUGCAAAGAGUCAUUUUACAAAAUUUACAAUUAAAGACACUAUUAAAUAUCAAUAACUCAAUGAGUAGUUUGCAUCAACAUUAUUGUUUUCAGAAGGUAAAACACCAACAUAUUUUAGAUUUCAGACUAUAUAUAUUGAUAAAUUUCUUAUGAAUUUUUUAAAAAAUUCUUCAAUGUUUUCAAAAACAUAGAAUUGAAUAAAUUAAGUACCAUUAAGGAGAUUAAGAUUGGAGAAGUUUGUUCUGCAAACUACCAAUAAAACAAGCAUAAGCAUCUAUGUAUAAUUGUACUUCAAUUUUGUUCGCAAAUUAACUAUAUAUGUUGCAAUGCCAUGAAAUUCUAUAGCUAGUUAAUUUCUUCCAUGAAAUAAACAUGUUACUCAAACACGAGUUACGGUCGAAUUAACAAUAUGUAUAUAUGAACCACAUAUAUAUCUUUAGUUGUCUUUCCAUUAAGCUACUUGCAUAAUCUUUAAAGCCAAAUUUGCAUGGCGAGAAGUGUGAUAUUUCUUCAGUUCAGUGACUGAGAGAUGGCCUGUCUUUAAUGAAACAAAAUAUAUAGAAAGUUUGAUUGCAAUAUACAUGAAGCAAAAUAAAUAAAACUAAAAUUGUACCCUUCACUCCCUCUUACUAAAGUUGAUUUGAUUGUAUCCUUAUUUUGAUUACGGCCGUAGAAAAGUUGUUUAGAGCUUUUUCAUUUUUUUUUCAUGUUCCAACGAAAUGAAGUAGAAAAGUUAAGUUUCAAUUGUAUAUACAUCGAUCGACAAGUAGAUAUCUCUAAAUCUAAAGCUUACUCAUCGAGGACUUCAAAUGCACGAUAUGAAGAAGUCAAAAUAUGAAAAAUCACCUAUAGUAUUGCUCAUGCAUGUUGAAAUUGUGAUAUAUACUUAAUUGUUUUCACUAUCUGUGUUUCUCUUCAAGGAGGUACUUUGCUUUUUCUAUCUCGAUACUCGCUGCACUACUUUAUUUAGUGUAUGUCAUUUCUAAAUGUCUCGCAAAUCCCGAUGUAAAUAAGUGAAGCAUCAAUGUCGGAGCGCGUGGUCGCAAAAGAUUAACAGUAACAUACGUUCAUCGUGUUUUGAAGAAUUUCUAAUCGUUUUUCUUUCCAUAUAUAUAGAUCAAUAAAGAGAACAAAUUAACUUAUGAGUUCUUUUUUAUCAGUACACUGACACACCUUAUGAGCUGCUGGUGAUAAUCACAUAUAUAUAUAAGUCUAUGCUAUAGCAUGAAUUAAUGUCCUGUAAUAGAAGCUUAAUUCAUGCAUUUCAACUAGUAGUAUAUAUAGAUCAAAAUUUAAUGAAGAUAUCCAGUAAACCACAUUUCUCAGGAUCGAUGAAGAUAAGCGUAGGCGACCGAUUGGAGGUCCUCCAUGUCGUGAAAUCCCGACGACCUCCAAGAAUCGUCCUCGUCGCCGAAGGACGUGUGCUCUUCAUUCGUGUCGCAAUUCACGCCAUAAUUUCCGUGUGAAGAUUGCGCGGAAUUGGAUUCGAACUGCCCGUUGCUGUAGUAGUUUGCGUAGGUCGGCGUCGAAUCGAUCGACAUGUUCGAAAAGAACGGCGGUGUGAGUUUUCCAUCGCCAUUUGUAAAGAGGAAGGGGCCAUCUUGUUGGUAUGUUGAAGCUUUGUUGAAAGGCUUGUACUCUUGAGUGGAGGUGUUUGUGGGGCCAUUUUGAUGCCCACCUUGAGCUGCUUGGGCCUUUAGAGAAGCUAAUUGUGCUUGAAGGUUCACAACCUACAAAGAGCAAGAGGAAACCCUAAUAUCAGAAGAAACUCAGAUAUGAUCAGAUAGGUUUUGUAAAGAGAGAGAGAGAGAGAAACAAAAAGAAACCCUAAUGCAUGGGGAUUAAGAAUUGUGUAUGAUCAUUCUUCUUACUUGUUGUUGGAGGGCGAAAAUAUGGGCGACGCAGCCGUAGAUGGGGUCCUGAAGGCGAGCUUGGGCCUCGUAGGAUAUGGUGACUGCGGCCUCGGAGCGGUCGGACACGGGGAGGUGCAUCAGGAGCUUCGACACGUUGCUCGCACCGAACACCUUGUGGAUGGCUGCGAAGUGCGUCGCGCCUUGCUCGUGGCAGAAGUAGGGCGCGAACACGCACCCUUUCACGCACUUCCUCCUCAAGAACUUGCAGGCUCCGCAGGGAGAUCCAAAUCCUGUCAUCUUCACCUUGAGAAUUUUGAUGCUAGUUUGAUGAUCUCUUUCUUUCCUUUUCUUCUUUUUCUUUUUGUUUUUUUUUUCCUUUUCUUUUCUUGCUUUGUGUUAAGGGAGGGGCACUCUCAGGUUUGCUUAUAAACACUAGGAUUAGAUGGGAAUGCAUCAUAUUUUCAUGAUUAAAAAAUUAGGGAUUGUCUACUUAAUGGCCUACAAAUUUCAUUAUUUAUUUUUUGUGCCUUUGAAGAGCUAGGCCUAUAUAGGUCCCUCUCACCUCAUCUUCUAUUUUAUGCCCCAUUUGAGAUUCUUCCAUUCAAGGAGAGCCCUAAAGGACAGUAGGACUAAUCACAAGCCAAGCCCAUUUUUAUAUUUCUAGUUGCUUAAUAAUUCUAGAAUUUUUCUUAUUAAGCUGGCCCUUGAUGCUAUGAUAACAACAAACACAUUAAUUAGUUGAAUGUAUAUAUAUGUAUAUAUAUAGUUCCCCUCCUUUGAAUAACUUAGUUUGUGAAAAGCUAUAUUAUCCCUCCUUUAAUUUUAUCCCUCUCACUGUCCUUUCUUUUUACUAUAUUUUCCCAAAAAAGGACACAAAUAUAUAUAUGAGCAAGUAUAUAUAUAUAUAUAUAUAUGAUUAGUUUACAUAGGCUAAUAGUGUAAGAAUCAUCAGAUAGGUUUGUUGCUUGAUUAGUUAAAUUAUACGGUAAAGCUAUAACGUGUUAGCGAUUAAACAUAUUUGUUUAUUGGAUUCUAUCUAUUUCGCGUGCCGCCGAUGAACCUAAACAUCAGGACCUUGUGGUUAAUUGCACACAGACCAAUUUUGUCUCUUGUUUACCAUUAAGUUAAGUACUUUUUGUACAAGCAAAGGAACUAUGAUAUUUAUUAUACAAAAAAAAAAAGGAAAAGAAAGAAAGAAAGAGCUAUUCACUUCUCCUAAUCCAUUAUUAAUUUAUAUGUGACAGUUAAUGCAUGCUUUUACUAAUGGCUUUUAGUUCAUUUUAGAGUCCAUUUUAAUUAUUAUAGGCAUUAAACGUCACAUGAGAUUGAGGAUUAUAAGACAACAGUUCACAAACCUAACCCAAGUCAUACAUGUACGUAUGUAUGUAUUUGCUGCACGCAUUUGCAUAUGUACGCAUUCUUAUAUAAAUUUGGAAUUUAACUAAAAAAUUAGCAUGAAUCCUAGAAAAAAUUAGCAUGUUUAGUUUCUAUUUGGGGCCCUUAACAUUUUUUGCCUCCUAGAAUGAAUACCACAAUUAAAAGCCUAUACAACAACUUCCCCCUUAAACCUUGACUCAAGCUAGUAACCAUAGUAACUAGGAAAAAAUGUAACUCUCACAAAAUCUUUUUUGGUGUAAAACCCUAAAAAGGUGCUAGAACUCUCAUAGCCAUGGAAUUAAGAAUGUAAUAAAUGCUAUGAGAGUCUCAAAAUAAAUUAAGGUAUAUAUAGGUAUAUAUAUAGAUAGAGUAAAGCUACUAUACUUCUGGAAGCACGGAGCUUUCCGUUCUUUCAGGUCGUUUUUCAUGUUGCGACUUUCGAAUUGUCGAUCGGCUCCGUUAAACUUGAUCUAGAGUAUUUGAAGUAUCUAGAAAAUAAAUUAUGUGAUUUUUCAAUAUUAUUUGCCUAGUAAACGAAGGGGCUCAAAAUCAACGGCUGAAAAUAAAAAUCUUACAAAACGUGAUAAUAUGACAUUAAAAUUUUAGAUCAAAGAUAUUGAUCUUGUUUUAUAUAGUAUAAAGAAUUUUCUAUUAAAAUUUCACGUAAUUCGGAUAUUUCUACACCGUUAAACUUCCAAACGGCUCACUACGGCCAUUAAAAUUAUUGAUUUUGAACCCCUUCGAUCACUAGGCAAAUGAUAUCGAAAAAUCAUAANCACGUAUAAACAUAUACGUUGAAACUGUAAACAAAUUUAUUAAGAUAAGAGCAAUUUGAUAUUAUGUAUGUGAUCGUAACUCCAAAGGAAAAAUUAAUUGGACAGAGAAAAAAAGAGUCUGCAAGAGUAUUUUCAGAAGAAUUAAAUAUACAGGGUGUGUUGACUGGUCAAAGCAGCCGCCACAGAGUCAAAUCAUCCUUGGAGAUGACUGAGAAAUAGUGAGUGAACGAGAGAGAGAGAGAGAGAGAGAGAGAGAGAGAGAAGAAUGGAGAAUAAGGCAGUCGAUGUGACCUGGUCAGUCAACAAUAGUUUAUUCAGUUUCUGCAACUUCUCACCUCCCGGCUUACACUAUUGGCUUCUUCUAGAGGUCAACAGAAGAGGUCAAGGGCCAACUUGAGAUCCGAGUUCUGAAUAAAUUUUUUUUUUAUAUUUUUAUAUUUUGUUUUUAUUUUAUCACCGAUUUUGAAUUUAGGAGUUUAAUUUAUUUUUUAAUUAGUAUGUAAUUAAGUUAUGUAGUUCACCAAAUUUUUAAAAUAAAAAUAAGCGUAAAUAAAAAUAGUGUGAGAUAAUUUUACUGGACUUAGAGAAUAAAAAAAAUGCAAAUAUAAUGAACAAGAACGAAUGCUUAUAAUAGUUUACUUUAUGUCAGUUGAUAUUCUUCUUAUACAGAUCUUGUAUUCCAUUUCUAUUUGGAAUGUGAGAUGUAUACAAAUUGUGACGCUUUAGAUGGAUAUAAAAAUUAUGUUCGUUCAAUGAGUCUGAUGCACGCGUUCGUGCAGGACUUCCUCCAUCUAUUUGGGAAUGGAACGGCGGGACAUGACAGGUUUAGAAAAUCGAUUGAUGUAUCUUUUUUAUUUGGUUUCUUAGGUUUGGAAACUGUUAGUUUUCUCUUUCUCAUUUAGUUGUGGAGAUAUUUCUUUUCUCUCUCUUUUUUUUUUUUUUUUUUUUUAGAGAAAAAGGUUGCAUACUACUUGCUUCAUUUAUUUUCUUUUAAAAAUAAACUUAAUUGAAAAGCAUGUAUAAAUAUAUUGCAUUCUUCCAUUUAUCUUUGAAAGAUACAAGUGAAAAAAGCAGGGGGUGGUGGAAUGAUCAUCCAACACUACAUUUAGGCUAUAAAAUAUUAAAAUACUACUUUUUAACAAACUUAAUCUUUUAUAGAACCUAAUAGUUAUUUCAUAUAGUAUCAAAGCAGGAGGUUUCAAGAUCAAGCCUUUUUAGGCCUGACUCAUUAAUUAUCCCCAUUGCAUUGAAUACAGGAUUUUAUUUUUUUGUUUUAUUUUGUGCUUGCACAUAGGCCCUUCAUCCAAAACCCCUACAAAACCUGUACAAAAAUACUAUCCAAUAAUUGAACCACCAUACAUUAUAAUUCACAAGCAAGGCUAGUUAAUUAGAAACCCUGACCACCUAAAUAGCCUACUAGAUAAUGAACUCCUAUUAUCGAUAGUAAUUGUCGUAUAUCGAACUAAUAUUAAAACGUUAGUUAUAUCCUAUUCUCUCGUAGCUGAAGCUUUAUCAACAACAGAAGAACAGAAGAAACUUGUGCGUAGCAUAUUUAAGCCAUUAUAUAUCCUCCACUAUUGCAAUGGCUUCAGUCAUGUGUACUUGUUGGCCACUUAGCCAUGGCAAGAGUGACUUGAUCUUUUUUGAGACAGCAAAGCAAAGCAGCCCUCUCUAGGGCACCAAAAGAAUAAUUAGUUGCUCAAUAAUUUGCAGGUUAAAGUAGAAGCAAAGUAGUACUACACCAAGGCACACUUGUAAAGAAGGGUAUGUAGCUUAUUUUUAAAUGCCUAAGUUUUGGAAAGUACUUAUAAUUUAAAUGUUUCAACUGCCCCCACCGUUGUAGCUUUAAUUUUUAUUCAUCCUAGAGGCCACCUAGCUCCUUAUGGCUUAUAAGUUUUAAAUAGUAAUUAAAACUUGGAUAACAUAUAUAUAUAUAUAUAUAUAUAUAGAAUUAGGCUGGAGUACUAUUAAUAGUAAAACGCUCUUUUUGCUAUCAAGUUUUUAACUCUUGGAUGAAAAAUUGUAGGGUUAAGAUGAUAUUAGUCGGUUAGAGUUGAGUGGUCCCUAGAGAUGCNCUAGUAAACGAAGGGGCUCAAAAUCAACGGCUGAAAAUAAAAAUCUUACAAAACGUGAUAAUAUGACAUUAAAAUUUUAGAUCAAAGAUAUUGAUCUUGUUUUAUAUAGUAUAAAGAAUUUUCUAUUAAAAUUUCACGUAAUUUGGAUAUUUCUACACCGUUAAACUUCCAAACGGCUCACUACGGCCAUUAAAAUUAUUGAUUUUGAACCCCUUCGAUCACUAGGCAAAUGAUAUCAAAAAAUCAAAAAAAUUAUUUUUUAAGUACUUCAAAUACUAUAGAUCAAGUUUAACGAAGUCGAUCAACGAUUUGAAAGUCGCAAUAUCGAAAACGACCUGGAAGCACGGAAGGCUCCGUGCUUCCAAAAGCAUAGUACGUAGCCUCACACGAUCGCUCUCGUACUCAUAAGUCGUUUUCGAUGAUAGAGCUUCUGAAUCUACGAUCCAUAUCGUUAAACAUUUUCUAGAGCAUUUAAAACUUCUAGAAAUUAAAUUUUAUAAUUUUUUGACAUAAUUUACUUUACGAUCAAAAGAUCACAAAAUUGAUAAUUUUUAACGGCCGGUAUGGGAUACUUGGUAGUUUAAUGGUGUAAAAGAAUCGGAAUCGGUUCAAUUUUUUAUAGAAAAUUGUAUUCACUACCUAAAUAAAGAUCAAUAACUCAGAUCUUAAAUUGAAGGAUCCGAUCAUCUAUUUUUAGAAGGUUGUUCGAUUUCGACCGUUCAUUUUAUACCCGCUUGAUGGACUUUAUUAUGAUUUUGAAAAAUUACGAAAUUUAUUUUCUAGAAGUUUCAAAUACUUUAGAUCAUAUUUAACGGAGUAGAUCGUCGAUUCGGAAGCUCCAUCAUCGAAAACAACUUAUGAGUACGAAUAACCCAAGACUCAUAAGAGUAUAGUAGCCCUACUAUAUAUAUAUAUAUAUAUAUAUAUAUAUAUAUAUAACCGAUCAUUCCUAGUGCAAGUGGCAAAGGGUUUAAUGAUUGCUACUCAAGGUCCUAAGUUCGAAUUCUAGUUGAUUCACAUUUCUAGCUAAUUUUAUUUCUAAAUAGCUGAAGAUGCACAAUUUUUUACCUAGGAAAUACUAAAUGUGCUCUCUCAUUAUCAGUGUCACCAUAUUAAUUAUUAAAAUUAAAAUAGUUGAUCAAUAUAUAGUUGCUUUUCCCAAAAUUUUAUAAUUUCUUCCAGUUAAUUCAAACACUUCACAAAAAUUUAUCUUUAUGAUAAAUCAAAAGUCAAAGAUAAUUUUCUACUCUCUUUUUUUUUUUUUUUUUUUUUUUUUUUUUUUUUUUUUUUUUUUCCGUUGUGUAUGCAAUAAUCUAUGGUUACACAAAUAUGUACAGAUGUUAGAAGAUACUUGUUUUUCCAAAAAGUCCCUUCACUUGUUUUUCAUUUCACUACCUUUCAUUCAAAUCUUAAUUGUGUUUGUACUCUUUUUGAUGCAAUGUUUUGUAAUCUAACAGUAUACUUUACUAGUUGGUGGAAUAUUAUGUACAGUCAUUUCAAAAUGCAAUGUAGGUGAGGUAUUUGUUUUAAAAGUUUUAACUUUCUGUUAAAAUUACUGCGUUUUGUAGACCAUAGUAGUGAGAUGAAAUUUCUUUUACGAUGCCAUUUCUUUCAUUAAAUAAAUUGGGUCAUAUUUCAUCGGCUGCAAAAUUUGAAUUUAUUGUUUAUUUAUUAAACAGAAAAGGAGGUGGAGGAAAACACGAGCAAAAUGAGAGAAUAUAUUCUGAAGAAGCUUAAGCUUGCAAAAGUCCCUGAUGAGGUGAUACAAGUCAUCGAAGUUAGCGAAAUGAGUGAUGUGGUCUCAUCUCCUCUGAGGUAUCGAUCUCCCGUCUCUUUACUAUGUGGCAAGAUUACUAAAGAAAAUGUGUGCGUAGCCGGAGACGCCUUCCACCCGAUGACCCCCGACUUAGGUCAGGGCGGUUGCUCGGCGCUUGAAGAUAGCAUUGUUCUUGCUCGGUGCUUAGGCGAAGCCAUCCGCGGGGAGGAUAAAGGAGGUAAAAAGGGAGAAUAUGAGAGAAUUAAGGAUGGAUUGAAGAAGUACGCCGAGAACAGGAGAUGGAGGGGCAUUCAGUUGAUUGUGACAGCUUAUAUCAUCGGUUUUAUUCAGCAAAGUGAUAACGCAUUCAUAGGCUUUUUGAGGGGGAAGAUUUUGUCAGGAAUAAUGGCCAAAACNNNNNNNNNNNNNNNNNNNNNNNNNNNNNNNNNNNNNNNNNNNNNNNNNNNNNNNNNNNNNNNNNNNNNNNNNNNNNNNNNNNNNNNNNNNNNNNNNNNNNNNNNNNNNNNNNNNNNNNNNNNNNNNNNNNNNNNNNNNNNNNNNNNNNNNNNNNNNNNNNNNNNNNNNNNNNNNNNNNNNNNNNNNNNNNNNNNNNNNNNNNNNNNNNNNNNNNNNNNNNNNNNNNNNNNNNNNNNNNNNNNNNNNNNNNNNNNNNNNNNNNNNNNNNNNNNNNNNNNNNNNNNNNNNNNNNNNNNNNNNNNNNNNNNNNNNNNNNNNNNNNNNNNNNNNNNNNNNNNNNNNNNNNNNNNNNNNNNNNNNNNNNNNNNNNNNNNNNNNNNNNNNNNNNNNNNNNNNNNNNNNNNNNNNNNNNNNNNNNNNNNNNNNNNNNNNNNNNNNNNNNNNNNNNNNNNNNNNNNNNNNNNNNNNNNNNNNNNNNNNNNNNNNNNNNNNNNNNNNNNNNNNNNNNNNNNNNNNNNNNNNNNNNNNNNNNNNNNNNNNNNNNNNNNNNNNNNNNNNNNNNNNNNNNNNNNNNNNNNNNNNNNNNNNNNNNNNNNNNNNNNNNNNNNNNNNNNNNNNNNNNNNNNNNNNNNNNNNNNNNNNNNNNNNNNNNNNNNNNNNNNNNNNNNNNNNNNNNNNNNNNNNNNNNNNUAAUAUUUCUCCCGUUUCCUACCUCGAAUCCAUCUCGGAUCGUAAAAUUUACCCCAUUUCCCGCAACGAAUCCGUUUAUUUUCUCCCAUUUACUGCCCCCGUCGGGGCGGAUCGGGGCAGGAGCUCCACCAACCCGGAUCCGUUUGCAUCCCUAGUGGUCCCCCUAGGGUUGAGUGGUCCCCACUGGGUUAUAGUAUUUAAUCCAAUGAUUAGAAAUGAUGAAAAGAGUUGAUCCAAAGGCUAAAAAACGGAUAGCAACAAUAAAAUUUUGCUACUAAUAGUAGCCCAGUCCAACUCUAUAUAUAUAUAUAUAUAGUCCCUUUUACAGUUCUGUUAUUCCAAAUUUGUCUCCUUAAUUACUUUUCAUUGAUACACUUCAUUAAUUAGGUAGAAAUUUUAGUCCCUGAACAUCAAAAAAUAAUUUUUACUGUAAAAUAAUCUUUUAAUUCUGUUUGGAUUAUACUAAAAUAAAUUAGGCAUUUUAUAUAGAAGGGAUAAGAUGGUUAUUUAAUUUGUAAAAAAAAAAGUCAGUAAUUUUUUUUUUUCAAAUGAUGAAGAACUAGAGGUAACUAGAAGUGUAUGUACAAUUAAAAUUUUUGGCUUUAUUAUAAAAACCAUCUUUGCACUUUGCCCCGUGCCUCAAAUAUUUCUCUGCAUAAAAAAAUUCAAACAGUGUCAACCCUGCACUUUAGAAUUCUUGUGUCAAAUAGGUCUAAUAAUUUAAAAUUUUCAUUAACUUUUGAUGGAGAGAAUCCCUCACGCAGGUGAAUAGUUUUUCAUGGUUCUUCUUAGAUUUUGGUACUUGAAGGGGCGAUUGAAUGAGCUUAAAAAUAUGUUAUCUAUCUCAGUAUGUAGCUAUUAAAACAAAUAGAAACUCUGAACGGAGAGGCUAAUUAUUUGAGACAGAUCUAAAGUACAGGUUAAUGAUAUUGUCUAAAUCUUUUAUGUAGAAAGAUAUUUAAGACGCGGGGCAAAGCGUGAGUAGGGGUGGAAACGAGCCGAGCUCGAGCGAGCUUAUGUCAGCUCAAAUUCGGCUCGAACUCGGAUCUAAAUCUAGGCUCAAGCUCGGCUUGAAAUUAAUUCGAGCGAGCUCCGAGCAGCUAAUUCGAGUCGAGCGCAUUGAAAUUUUCGACAUAUUAUAUAAUCAAUAGUUUAAUUUUUAUAGAAUAUUACCUACAAUUUGAUGAAAAUGUCCAAUAGUUCAAAAUACAAAUAAUUGCAAGAAUAUCAGCUAGGGUGACUGCCUGACCGGUGAGGGUCAGAGAGAGAGAGAGAGAGAGAGAGAGAGAGAGAGGGGGGGGGGGGGGGAAUUAGAAUUUGAGAAUUUGAAUGUUAUCAUGUUUUGAGGUUAUGUGCAAAAGUGAAAGUCUGAAAGAGAGAGUGUGUUAUAUAAAUUAGAGUUGGGCUCAAUUGCACGGUUGUACUGUUGGGUUUAUUUUAUAGGCCAACAAUAUAGUCCAAAUAAAUUAAAGCCUAUAUAUAAUUAAAAUACAUUAUAUAUAUAUAUAUAUAGAACUAGGCUACUAUGCUAUUAAUAGCACCAAGUCAUUGGUGCUUACCAAGUUUUUGGCCCAUGAAUUAAGAGAUGUGGCGUUAGGAUGAUGUGGGUCUCUAGGUCGAGUAGGGUUGGAUUGAAUAGUAUGACUCUAACGGCGUGAAAUAUGAUCAAAAGAAUAGAUCUAACGGCGGAAAACUUGGUAGCACAAAUGCUUCAUGCUAUUAAUAGCAUAGUAGCGGACUCUCUCUCUCUCUCUCUUCUGCUCUCCUCUCUCUUCUCUCUCUCUAUAUAUAUAUAUAUAUAUAUAUAUAUAUAUAUAUAUAUAUAUAUAUAUUCGAGCUUUUCGAGCUUUUCGACCCUAAUUCGAACGAGCCGACUGAUACUCAAGCUGGGCUUGAAAUGAAUUUCGAGCCUUUUAUUUUGUUCAAGCUCGGCUCAUUUAAUUUCGAGUCGAGCUCGAGCGAGCCGAAUAUCGAGCCGAACACGAGUCGAACACGAGCCGGCUCGCUCGUUUGCCAGCCCUAAGCGUGAGGAACGUAUGUAGAGGAGUGUUUACAAUUAAGCCUAAAAGGUUUUUAGUAGUAAGGGACUAAAUCAAGAACAAUAUAUAUGUAAAAUUUAGAAAUUUUAAUAUUUAAAUGAAAAGCGUAGAAGCCAAUUUACAAAGUACAAGACCUCCUCCCAUACCUCUUAAAACUUUUAAAGCCAUGUUUUUUUUUCUUCAAAAAGAAAAAUAAUAUGCUGUUUGUUUCAUUCAUUCAAAAAAAAUAUAAUAAAUUUAGCUGAAAAUAUGAAUUAGUUAAAUUUUGAAUUUUGAAUCUUAAGUACAUUUUUAUAGUUUGCACUAGGAAUGGUAGGUAACUUUUGAAACAAUGUCAUAUGCAUCUACGCGGAUUUUUCAACUUUUUAUCACAUCAAACUCUUGUAACAUAAUUGGUCACAUAUAGAGCCCACAUUAUGUUCUCCUUUCUCUUUUUUUUUUCUUUUUUUUUUUAGCCUUUUUUCUUUGCCAUGAUUGGUCCCACAAAGACCACUAAUGCAACUUUUUCUUAGUAGAUGUCUCUUAAUUUUGUCCCUCUUCCUAGGAAUCUGUAUUUCUUUGUCCACUCUCUGAAUCAAAAUAUAGCCACUUUUAAAAGUGCUUUACUUUUUUUUUUUUUUUUUUUUUUUUUUUUUUUUUGGCUCUUUGUUUAAGUUGUGAGAAAUUAGAUAAACUUGCUCUAUAUUGGAAAAACUUAACACUUCUUCAUGUAUGAAUGAACUUGUGAUUAAUGAGAGUUAAUUUAAAUAUUAUUUUUUCAUAACUUAUUGAUUAACGAUAAAUUAUUAUUUCUUCUUUUAACAAGAUAUAAAAGAUGUAUUAAUGCUAUUAAUUCAAAGUAAACUCUGAUCCACUACAAUAAAAACGGUUUAUAGCAACAUUUUUAAAUAUCGAUACAGAUAAAAAAAAAUGUUGCUGACUAAAUUGCCGACACUUUUAAAAAGUAUUGCUAUAUGUGGGGUCGUUAGAUAUAUAUAGUGACAGUUAAAGAGUGUCGCUAUAACCUAAAAAGAGUACUGCUAAUUUACCAACACUUAUUUAAGCAUUUAGCAAUUGCCGAAACUUUAUCUUGUUGGUUGCGGUGGCGGAGGAGGACAAGAGGGAAGGAUUUUUCGUUUAGAAUUUCAGUGGAUUGAGUGAGGGGAGAAGGGGAGAUGGUAAUAGAUUUUUCUUUUCUUUUUUUUUUCUUUUCUGUUUGUAAUCGGGCCGAACGGGCUGAAUGGGGUGGGUUGAGUAGAAUUUUUAUUUUUUUUUUGAUUGGAUUGUGCUUUAUGUUUAGACAUUAGUAGAUGUUUUUUUAAGUUUUGACAUAAAUGAGACACUUACAUAAAAGUAUUCCAAACAUGUGUCGCUAUAACUUAAUUCUGUUGUAGUGUGAACUAAAUGGUACUUAAUUAUAUGACCCUUUCAACUUUCACUGUCUUUUAUAAUUUUAGUAUUUGUCCUUAGAGCUCGUUUUUUUUAUUAAUGGGAUAACAGUUAUUACUCUUGUGGUAUUUGAAUUAGCUGUUUAGAAAAGUAACUACUGGAUCAGUUCAAUCUCAUUAUUAGGCGGAUUGUAAGACCACCUGGUGAGCAGAAACAUUCUGUACAUCUGUUCUGUAGACAAUUUGCAUGUACGACUAAUCAUGAUGACUAAUUUCCUACUAUAUUUAAUGAGAAAUUAUGGCUUAUACUGCAUCCAUUAUUCAUUAAUUCCUACAUAAGUACCGAUACAGCCAAUUUAGCAUUAGAGUUUCCGCUGAGUUCGUUAAUUGUUAUAAUGCGAAAAAUUUUUAAACGACUAUAACUUUUCACUCAAGUGUCUAUUUUUAAUGUGUUAUCCCAACUCGGAAAACACAUUUCGAGGUCUAUGCAUUGAACCAUAAAGCAUUUUGGCCAAGCUUGGGAUCCAAAUUUAACUGUUUAGGUCUCCGUUUUUGCAUUUUAGGUUAUUUUUGAAAAGUUUUUUAUUUUUUCUAUUUUGAGUUUGAUUAUUUGGUUAUUUCUAAUUGGUUUAGGUCUAGAGAUAUAUUAGAAUUUAUUAUCUUCAAGCGUAAUAGGAUUAGGGUAUCAACCCUAUGUAUAUGUGUGGCGUUCAAUGUAAUUAGCUUUUGGAGUUGGCUAAUAAUAUUUUCGUCUUUGUCGAAAAAUUAUAUAUGUCUUUCAUGUAGCUCUUUUUCCAUUCUUGUGCUUAUUCUUUCUUAACGCAGCUUUAGGUCUACGUCAAGUACUUUAUAUAUUUUGACUUAUUUUUCCAACCAUCAAAUAACUUUAAAUAUAUAAAACUUUCAUAACUCAAUUAGUAAACCAAUUGUACUGGAUUGAUGCAACUUCACACAGUCCUUCCCAUUCUUUGUGGAACUUCACACAGUUCUUUCCAUUUUUUCAUUCCACAAAGAAAUGGAAAGAUAACUUUAUAAGACUUAAAGUAUAAGUUAAUAGAUUAAGAAGAAGAAAAAGAAUAGAAGAAGAAAUUAAUUAAAAAAAAAUACAACCAUAGUAAGGCUCCGUUUCAGAUUGCAUAGAAAGUGCAUUACGUACGUACAGUAAGAAAGUACAGUAUAAAAUAUUUCAUUUAUAUGUAAAACAUAUUACAUUAAUUGUUAAAAAGUAACUGUUGUUGUAUAUUAUAUUCAACACCACUCCUACUCACGUCUGAGUACAAAAUCUUUUGUUGAUAGGGUUAAGAUGUAUAUAUACUUGAAUUAAAUGAGAGGUCCUCUUUAUCGAACUUAGGCGUCCUGCUCAAAUAGCAUGUUUACCAAAGACUUUUGCUACCAAAGAAUGAUAUUCUAAUAUUAUGAGAAAUGCUUUCGAUCUCCCACUAUAGAAUAGUGCAAGGAUUGGAUUUAGGAUAUAAUAAUGAUACUUAGGAUUUAAUAAUAAUGUUUCGGGUUGAAGUAACUAAUAUAUAGGAGUAAUAAUGAUAGUUGUCAUGUCAUCAAUGUCGGAUCGUUCGCGCUAACCAUUAAUCCCAAAAGCUCGAGCUGUUAGAAAUACGCAACCAAUUCACUUAAAGCGUACAGAAACAGCGCCUACGGGUCUCGAUUGUGACUCAGCCCACCUGGCCUCAUGCCACUUCGAACAUGACUCGGCUCAACCCAGCCUCACGCUAUUUCGAACAUGACUCGGCCCACAUGGCCUCCCGCCACAGGGCAGGAUGCUGGCCCAUUUAAGCCAACAAUCCCUCCUCCAGCACCUGCACACAUUUGCAGCAUGCGGGAAUCGAACCCGUGACCUCUGGCUCUGAUACCACUUGUCGGAUCGUUGGCGCUAACCAUUAAUCCCAAAAGCUCGAGCUGUUAGAAAUACGCAACCAAUUCACUUAAAGCGUACAGAAACAGCGCCCACGGGUCUCGAUUGUGACUCGGCCCCACCUGGCCUCACGCCACUUCGAACAUGACUCGGCCCAACCCAGCCUCACGCCAUUUCGAACAUGACUCGGCCCACAUGACCUCCCGCCACAGGGCAGGAUGCUGGCCCAUUCAAGCCAACAAUCAACAGUGUUAUAGAGUACCUUUUCUGAGGUAGCUAUACUAGUACUCUAAUUAAUAUUAUAUUUUAAAUGCUAGUUAGAUCAUGCAAUAAUUUGAUUGCGAUAUAAUUUCUGCAGUUUCACCGGUAAACAGAAAAGCACGUACGUAUAUCUCUACAUAUAUACUUUUGUUCCGACUCCUUUUGCCCAGUACCAAACAAACAGUGCCUGAGUAUAUAUAAUCUAAUAUAUAGAUUAACCAAUAUCUAAAGUUAACUUGUGAGCUAAUUAAUGAUUGUGAUGUAUAUAUCUAUCUACACAUACAUGAAUGUGUAAUGGCUAAGCCCAGCUGUUUGCAAGAAUUAAUACACAAGACGCGUCUGAAAUUAAUGAAGAUAAUUGCUUCCACCGUCUUUGACAAAUUAAUUAAUCAAGCCGAUAACGACGACGGCGACGAGGACGGCGAGAGAAUUAAUGCUUCAUGAAUGCUGAGGUUAAUUAAUUAACUGAUAAUGUAUCAUCAUGCAUUGCAUAUGAUCACCGAUUAAUUCUUUGCGUGUGGAAAAUAUAUACUUUUGCCAACACAGCGUGAUCUGGCCUCCGUAUGCCUAAGCCAUAUCUAUCUAUCUAUCUAUCUAGCUUAGCUACUGAUCUUCAUUUCCAUAGCUAGGAAGAAAACAACCUUAAGAUAUUAAUUGAGGAUAGGAUUUGAUUCUUAAAUUCAAGAUCGAAAGCGCUGAUAAAAAAAUUAUAAAAUCAACACGUAGAUAGAGUUGAUGAGUUGGAAUGCUAUGAGCAGCAAACAUACUCCGUUGCCAUCCAUUUGUUUUCGAUGAUAGAACUAGCCUCCAAAUCGACGAUCGGCCUUGUUGAACAUGAUCUGUAUGAUUUGAAGUAUCUAGAAAUCAAAUUUUAUAUUUUUUUGAUAUUAUUUUCUUGUUCAUCAAGCGGACACAAACAUGAACGGUUGAAAAUGAAUAUUCAUUAAAAAGUGAUGAUAAAAAUCUUGUAAUCAAGAUCAAGAGCAUAAAUCUUGUUUUAAAUAGUUUAAAGAAUUUUCUAACUAAAAUUCAAUUAAUUUAUAUAUUUUUACACUGUUAAACAAGAAAACGUCUUAUAUUGACCAUUAAUCUUACAAAUUUUGAAACCUUUUGAUCAUUAUGUCAAUAAUAUUGAAAAAAUUUAAAAAUUGGUUUUCAAAUACUUCAAGUGGUAUAGAUCAUGUUCAACUGUACCGAUUGUCGAUUUAAAGACUCCAUCACCGAAAACAAAUGAGUAGCAAGAAAGAUCAUUUGCUAUUGAUAGCUCAACUUCACAUAGAUAAUAGUGUUUUAUAUUUUUUAUAUUUAACAUUCCUGCUUAUUUCUAGGCUCGAAACUUUUUAAUAUAUAGGCUCAUAACGUGGACUUGUAUUAAAGGAAAAAAAAUCAUUUAUGCAAGGAGCCUGGUGUAAUUCGAUUCGGGACUUCCUACUCUGAUACCGUGUCCAAUAAUGUGAAACAAUUGUUUUUCCCAAAAACUAAUUAAGCUAAUAGAGAAUAAUAUUUUUACAUUUUUAUAUUUAACAAUGAAGAUUAUGCACUUACUAGAAAGAUAAAUAAAGAGACAAUAACAUAGGUACCAAAAGAUUUAACUAAAAAAUAUUUUAAAAUAACGCAAGAUUAACGUAACAAAAUAUAACAAAUUAAGAUCUCUUUAAUUCCCUAUCUUUUUUUUCUCUCUCUAUUUAAUUUAUUUCGAUUUUAUUUUUUCUGCAUUGAGUUAUUCCUAGCUUGGGGUGAAAGUUGUUAGGAUAAACUCCAAUCGAAUUGAUACGAAUAUGGAUAACAAAAUUUAAUAUUCGACACAUAUUCCUAUCUGAAUUCGCACUCAAAAAAAUAAAAAAAAUGGAUGCGAAUAUGAUUUCUUAAAAAAUCCAACAGUAUUCAACCAUUUUCACCCUAAGAGAUAAAAAAAGAUGUUACUAUGAAUUUUAUAUUAAAAUUGUAUUUAUGUUAGUUACAAUACUCAACUCUAUUGAAUAAAAUAUAAACAUACCAAGUUUGAACAUAAAAUUAAUACGAACCUUCAGUUGCAUUGUGUGUUUUAUUCGCACUAGUUUUUAGUUCAUUUUUUAUACGCAUAUUAGCAUAUGUUAUUAUCCGAAUAUAAAUUUGACUUAUAUCUGAAUCAGAAUUUAAUUUAAUCAGACAUAGUAAUAAAAAUUUAACAUCCGACACAUAUUUAUAUCCAAAGAAAAACAUAAAUAUGUAUAUGGUUUUACAAAAAAAAAUUUCCUAGUUGUUACUUCUUUUUUUUUUUUUUUUUUUUGGUUGUUAGAGGAAACUUGUGUUAUUGGGAAAAAUUAUUGGUGUGAUCCGAAAUAAUAUAACUAUAAACGGUCGCAGCAAAUAACCGGUCAAGGGGACAGGGGAGUCACGUGUGGGGCCACCGCACGUGUUGAGAUGAUUGCGGAUAUCUAGGGUUUCCUCUGUUCCUCUUUAGCUCUCUCUAUAUAUAGAUAGCUUCACCAACUCCCUAGCUUAUUCCCAACGGUUUUAAUUAAUUUUUAUUUUUUCAGCUACUGUUUAAUAAUUAAUUAAGCUACUGUUUAAAAAUUACUCACCCUCAUACAAGUCUCUCAUAACACAAUUAAUUUACUCCAUAGUUGGUGCAAUUAGUUGCUAAGAAAAAGCCAAAUGAUCUCUCUCUCUCUCUCUCUCUCUAUAUAUAUAUAUAUAUAUGCUGAAGUAUUAUAGUUUAUUUUAAAUUAUUUUCUAUCGUAUCAAUUUUACGGAUAACAUAGUAUUAGAGCCAGUUUGCGUGUUGAGUUCAAUCCUCAUACCUAUCAUCUAAUGGCAUAAUUUUUUUGCAUGUUGUCCUUAUCAUUAAUGCAUGUUCUGUAAUGGAUCGCUUGAUUUUCGUCGUAUCGAUGAGCUUGUUAAGAUUAAUUUCAUGAUAGUUUUCUCUUAAUUCAAACUCGUGGUAUUCGUGCUGAAUUUUUUAAUUAAAAUUAUAUCUCAAGCCAAUUCAUACGUUUUUGUUAUAAGAAAAAUAGGAGUAAUUAAAGGGGUAAAAGUGAAACUUAAAGAAGCUAAUGAUAUUAUUAAUCAUUGGUUUCACAUAUUAAAUUGGUCAAUUACCCAACAAUUUGAGUUAGGUCCCCUUGCCCAGCAUGAAAAGGACUUCUCCUCUACUUUGCAAAUAUUAUAUAUAGGGUUAAAAUAUUUAUAUAGUGACAACAAUAAGAAGUGUUUCUUAUGAUAAUUUUUUUUUAUCUCUUUAAUUAAAUGAUUAAUUAGGGAUUAUAUAAACAUUGUUAAUUUUUCUUUAGGAACCGACAAUGUGACGCACCUAAGUGGAGCCAAAUUGUCACACCCAUAGGCAACCUAAGCUACAACAGUGUCUAUCAUUAUAGGACAUGUUAGAUAAUAGGAGGUUAAUUUCAAAAUGCUUCAAAGCUCGUGCAUAUUAUUAAUUAAUGUCUAAACUAAUUUGGAACUAAUCCGCCGGCCCCUCGGAACCCUAAUUUGGACGGCAAACUCGAGUCGAUACAACUCUGGCUGUAAUAAAGAGACCUGUUGUUCGUCUUUUUCGUCGACAGCUAAAAUCAUAGAAGUAGUAGUUGAAUGAUUGUCAAAUGGAAUUUUUAGGUUUUUACUAUGAUAGGAAGCUGAAAUCCGCUUCAACUUCAACGGAAAACUUUUAAAAAAAUUUUAGUGACAAAAAUAUAAAUCUUUUAAAUAAAAUCUUGGGCUUGUUCGGCCUGCCGCAAGGUGUUGUAUCGUUUGAAUAGCCUAUAAGGAUUAAGGAGAACCAUUAAAUUGGAAUAUUCUCAAUAAUGACUUGCUUUUUCUAUAGUAAAAAUCAAAAGUAUUAUAUGCCGAAUAUUUAUUUUCCGACUCGAAAUCUAAUUUCUACUUUUUGUUGUAGCAGAAGAUCUCUUGAUAUAUACUUCUCUACUGAUAGUAAAAGCAGAAGUAGAGUCAAACAGAUUCCUACUACUCUCUCUCUUUCUCCCCCGGCUAUUUCUCUACAGUAAAAAUCAAAAGCAUUAUAUAUUGGAAAUUUACUUUGCGACUCAAAAUUUAAUUUCUAUUUUUUGCUAUAGCAAAAGUUCUCUCUCUCUAUAUAUAUAUCUCUACUGAAAAUAAAAGCAAAAAUAGGGUCAAAAAGAUUCCUCCUUCACUCUCUCUCUCUCUUUCUCUCCUUCCCCCCAAUACCAACAACACCACACGAGCCCCUUGCUUUUUCAACAGUAAAAAUCAAAAGUAUUAUAAAUAAGAGACUUAAUUUUUUUGCGAUUCAAAAUUUAAUUUCUAUUUUUUGCUAUAGCAGAAGCUUUCGCUAUAUAUUUCUCUACUAAAAGUAAAAGUAAGGUCAAAUAGGUUCCUACUCCCUAUUUUUUCUAUAGUAAAAAUCAAAAGCACAAUAUUUUGGGAUUUACUUUGCGACUCCAAAUUUAAUUCUACUUUUUACUGUACCAAAAGCUCUCUCUCUAUAUAUAUCUCCACUGAAAGUAAAAGCAAACGUAGAGUCAAACAGAUUUCUACUACUACUUUCUCUCUCUCUCCUCCCAAAACCAACAACACCACACGGGCCCCUUACUUUUUCUACAGUAAAAAUCAAAAGAAUUAUACGUAGGAGACUUUUCUUUACGACUCGAAAUUUAAUUUCUAUUUUUUGCUAUAUCAGAAGUUCUCUCUAUAUAUAUUUCUCUACGAAAUAUAAAAGCAGAAGUAGGGUCAAAUAGGUUCCUAAUCUUCUACUCUUGCGGAGGAUACCAAAACAAAACCAACACCACACCCCCCCUAAUUUUGGUCUCCAGUCAUUAUCUAUCUUACACAAGAACUCUUCCAAAGCAAUUACAAUAUUAGAUAGAGGACUCCAUUAACUUUUUGUCUCUAUAUAUGUAUCUUCAAUCAACAUCUCUCUAAAGCUCUUAACAUUUUUCAAAUUAAAAUUGUUGGGGGGGGAGACAAAGAAGGCCACACGAGCGGAGUUGCCUGAUGGUCGCAGUACACAACGCAAUCCCUUCGCUUUCAAGCCAAUGUCCAAACUCUAUGCAUUUCUUAUUCAUCUUCUUCAUAUGGCCUUGCAUAGAUGAGGAUGGUGUAGUUUGAUCUGGGGGCAGUUUUUCUAAAUGCAGGACCCCUUUAACUCACGUUUACACUUCUAAAUGCUUUUUAUUUUUUUUUUUUAUUGAGAAUGCUAAGGACAAAUAAUGGUGUCAAACUCACAAUAGUGUGACCAUGACCAUGUAUGCUAGUGUAAUGAGGGGAGGAGUGUGUGUUUGUGUGUUUGUGUGUGUGUGUGUGUGAUGGGGACCUUUGUGUGAGAAAAGUUGAUGUUGGAGGGGGCCACAUGGAAUUUGGCCUUGUUAGAUGACCAGAGACUUGACCAUCUUGAAUAGGGGGGAAUUAGGGUUUGAUGGUUUCAUUGUAGCUCUUUUUGACUCCUAAAGUGGGGAAGCAUCCAUGGCCAUGUGGUGGAACCGAUUUGGAUUCGUGACUAAUGGCAGAAACACGCUUGCUUGUCCGACUUGAGAAGCAGCAGUCAAGUAUUUAACAAAUAAAAAUUUAACAGCAUAAAUUUGUUUUUACAGAAAAUUAAAUUUCACAAAAACUCAAGAACACGAAGGCAGAAGUUCUAAUUUGAAACUCCCACUUUGAAUGAUUCUUUGAAUGACUUUACAAAGAAAACACUUAUAUGGGCCCUAAUUUUUAUACAUGGUCAUUUUUGAGUUUGGCUAAUAGAGGACUUGUGCUUGCAUCUGAUUACGGGUAUCUAGAUAAAAUUUUAUUCAUAACAUUUGAUAUCAGUAUGAGUUUUCAAGAAAUUAACUAAAACGAUUGUUUUCAAAAGUACUCAACCCUGUAAUUAAUUAGAUAGGGAUUAACAUGGAACUUCUUUUUUUUUUUUCCCCUUUAAGAUGCCUGUGAACUCAUGCACGCACCUAUAUUCCUGCUCUAGAUAGAAUUCAGAUAAAAAAAUUACACCCUGCUAUGAAGAUACUGACCAACUGGGCUACUCAGUGGUGAUUGAUAGGAUUGGCAUGUUACUAGGGUCCAUUAUAGUGCAUCAAUAUAAAUUGCAGAUAGCUGAUUGUCCCUAGCGCAAGUGGUAAAGGGCUUGGUGGUUGGUAUUCGAGGUCCCAAGUUCGAAUCCUAGUUGAUUUAUAUUUCUAGCUAAGUUUAUUUCUAAAAGAAAUAAACGAAACGGAUAGCAUGCUAACUUUCUCUAAUAUAUAUAUANUUGGUGCUUGUAGAUUUUUGGCCAUUGGAUUAAGAGAUGUGCGGUUAGGAUGAUGUAGGUCCACUAGGGUUGAGUGGAUAGUUGGUUGAAUAAUAUAAUCUAACGGUUGAAAAUGAUCAAAGACGUAUAUCUAACAGUAAAAAAUUUAAAAGCACCAAGUGCUUGGUGCUUUUACAAGCACCAUAACCAGACUCUAUAUAUAUAUAUAGGCCAUGGCUACUAUACUAUUAUGAGUAUUGGAGCCCUCCUACUCAUAAGUUGUUUUCGAUGAUGGAGCUUUCGAAUCGACGAUCCACUCCGUUAAAUAUGAUCUAAAGUAUUUGAAACUUCUAGAAAACAAAUUUCGUAAAUUUUUGAAAUCAUAAUGAAGUCCAUCAAGUGGGCAUAAAAUGAACAGUCAAAAUCGAACGACAUCCUAAAAAAGCAUGAUCGGAUCCUUCAAUUCAAGAUCGGAGUUAUUGAUCUUUAUCUAUGUAGUGAAUAGAAUUUUUUAUCAAAAAAUCAACAAAUUUCGAUUCUUUUACACCGUUAAACUAGAAAGUAUUUCAUGCCGGUCGUUAAAAAUUGUCAAAUUUGUGACAUAUAUAUAUAUUGCAGAUAACUUGGGUUUGAAGGAUGAUGAAAGUCAGGGAAGAGUCAAGAAGACUGUGACUGUCCCAUCAACUUCAUGGAUUUAUGCGAAAGAAGUUAAUGAAUUUGACUUGUGAGGGUUAAGAAAUUUAGUUGGCACUCAACAUCAAGAAGAACAUUAUAUGCAAGGAACAGGGGGCCCCCUUAAUGAUUGCAUGAAGCAAUUGUAAUCUUGUUUGUAUCUAAUUGAGAAAGCCCAUGGGCUUAUCUGUUAUGGGGCCAAAAGUGACAAGCUUGGCCCAAUUGGUGCAACUAAUUAAAGAUGAAGAUUCAUAUGCAAAUCCAAGAGGAAUAGCAACAGCCAAUCAAAUAUUAUCGCCCAUUUGAAUAGGGCAUUAUCUAACUAUAUCAUGAGAUUGAUUUUUUUUUUUUUUCCCUUUUUACUGUGUGGCUGUUUCGAUUGGCUUGAAUUAGACCAUAAAUCAUUGUAUGGUUAUACUAUACGAUAAAAAACGCAGUUUGUGAUCACUCCACUUCCACCGGACAAAAAAAAAAAAACCUUCAUUCAUCUAGAAAUGAAGACUCCCUACUUCGGCAUUUGCCGCCCCUUUCGACUCUCCUCUUCCGUCGGCUGCUUCUGCCCCUCCUCCUUCGCCGCCCCUACUUUGUGAUGCCUCCUCCUCAUCCUCCUCCACUGUCCCACUAUGCCAAGUGCUAUAUAUACGAUAGGACUCAGCUACUAUCGGUAAUAAGCAGCUUGGUUUAUUAACGAUUUGUUGUCAAUGAUAAAGAUUUCAAACUGACGAUCAACACUGUUGAACAUAAUUGAGACUUUUUAAACUAUCUGAAAAUUAAAUUUCAUAAUUUUUCGAUAUUAUUCUCUUACCCAUCAAGAAGACAUAAAAUGAAUAUCCUUCAAAAAAUUAAUGAUACAAUUUUUGUAUUCAAGAUCUAAAGCCUAGAUCUUGUUGUAAAUAGUUUAAAGAAUUUUCUAACAAAAAUUCAGCUUAUAUAAACUCUUCGAUACUGUCAAAUAAACAAACGUUCUGUAUUGACCAUUAAAAUUAUAAAUUUUGUGACCCUUUGAACGUUCAGCUAGUAAUGUCAAAAAAGCAUGAAAUUUAAUUUUUAAAUAGUUUAAAUAGUUUAGAUCAUAUUCAACGGUGCAGAGCGUCGAUUUGGAAGCUUUAUCAUAGGGAAAACUUCAAAAACCCCCCCUAUGGUUUCGUGCAUUCUCACUUUGCUACCCUGUGGUUUAAAACGUAUCAAUUUGCCCCCCUGUGGUUUCGUUUUUAUCUUUUUGUUAUCAAUUUUAUUAUUAUUUUUUUAAAAAUCAGUGACAAAGUUAAAAUUAAAGGAUACUAAAGUGACUAUUCGAUAAAUAUAGAUGGUUAUCUGAAGUUUUUUGUAUAUAAUUUAACGAAAUAUUAACGAAAAAGCUUCCGAAAAGAUAAAAAUGAAACCACAGGGGGGUAAAUUGAUACGUUUUAAACCACAGGGUAGCAAAGUGAGAAUGCACGAAACCACAGGGGGGGUUUUUGAAGUUUUCCCUUUAUCAUAUGAAAUCACCAUAGAGGUAGAAUAUUGGUAGUUAUGGGCUUCGGGUCGAGCUUUGUCCUAGCCUGGGCAAGCAGCUAAAGGGCCCAAAACUAUUCUUUGCCUAAAAUUUUCGGCUAAUCUCAGAUCCAAAUUCUAUCUCGAGCAGCGAAAGCCCGGCCCCGACUACGUGGGCUUCGUUUAGCUCCAAAGAGAGGUACCACUUUGCUGUUGUUUCAAAUAGGUCAAAAACUGUAAUCCCUAAUAAUACCCUCCACUCUAUGGGAAAAAAAAAAAAAAUCAUGUGCGGAUACAUAAAGAUGAGUCCGACUAGGAUACUAUCGAUAGCACCAAGGGUUUGGUGCUAUUGAAUUUUUCACCGUUAAAUUUAACCUUUUGAUUAUUUUUUACCUGUUAGAUUAUACUAUUCAAUCAACCGCCCACUCAACCCUAGAGGACCCACAUCAUCCUAACCGCACAUUUCUCAAUCUAAGGACUAAAAAACUAAUAGCACCAAUAACUUGGUGCUAUUGAUAGUAUUCCAGCCUAGUUCCAUAAAAAUUAGGCACUCUAGUAGUAAUAAUUUAGACUUAAAUAUUUUGGCCGGGAUUUAGAGGUUGUUUGGCUUAUCAGUAAAGUAUGAAAAGAAAAGUAUUAUUUUUUAGAAGAGUUUUCCAUUGAUUUUUUUUUUUUCUAGUUUUUCACCCGUUUGUUUUUAAGUAAGUUAACUUCUUUUUUUUUCAUCUUUUAUGAAUGAAAAAUGAAAACACUAGUUUUUUUGUGAAAUCUGAAUUUUUUUUCCUAAUAAAGCUAGUUUUUCUUGGAACAGAAAAAGGCAAAAAACUAGAAAUUUUUCUUUUUUUUCAUAAGAAACUGUCUUUUUAAUUUUCUUUCCCCAUAUUUUUUUCAAAGAAUCAAACAGCCCCUUAGACUCGACGAGCUACUCAUGCCUAAUUGAUUGGGUUUUAUCUGGUGAUCGUAAACUGUAUGUGUGAUUGGCUCUGUCGAAAGCGUCGGGAUCUAAUAAUUUGCGUUGAACAUUUUCGGAUGGAGGAUUGAGCCCAACAAAUUGCUAAUUUAGUGGGCUUUUUGUUUGCAAAUAUUUCUGGAUUAUUAAUGAAUUUAAAUGUAAAACUUCAUGAAAAAGAAUUAUUAUUAGGCGAUGUUGGAUAUAUUUACUGAAAUAUAAUCACAUGAUAUCAGUUAAAUGUUUAGGCAAUUAUAAAUUUGUGUAGCUUGACAAAAGAAAAGGAAUUUUUUUAUGUAGUUUUAUAUAUAUUAUUAUGUAAGUUUAAUUUUCUUUCUAGCAUCUAUAUAAAUAUGCCAUAAUUAAAGACAAUAUAUUUUCUUUUCUUUUAAAAAAUAUAAAAAGUUUUGAACUGACCCAAAUUCUAAAUAAAUUACAUGUACUUUACAAAGCCAUGACAUGAGAAAUCAUUUGAAACAAAGCAAGAUGUAACCUCUCCAUUGUGGUGAGGAUUUAGGUUUAGCACCUAAACCAUAUAUAUCCAACCCUAAUGAGUUGAGAAAAAGUGGGUAUUACCUAACUUUUGGUAAUGUGCACAUCAAUUAUUAGUUUAAUCAAGUAGUUAACCUGUAAAAAGGAUUAGCUAAUAGAUGUUAUUAUCUUAAUAAUUAUUGUGUAAAUCUCCUAAGGUAGGAGUGUAAGUAUCUACUUAUCCUUCGGAGACCCCAUUUUGUGCUGGUUAAGUUCGAAUUCUAAUUGAUUCAUAUUUCUAGCUAAUUAAGUUUAUUUCUAAAUCAAAUAAACGAAGCGGGUAGCGUGCUAUCUAUCUCUAAAAAAAAAAGAAAAAAGAAAAAAAAAGUUUAAAAUUUUAAAGUAGUUGUUAAUUUCACAUAAUACAAGAGCAAGACAUUCCGAGUUCGAGCUCAGAUUUCAAUCUAGUUUUAUUUCAUCUACUUAACUUUCAUUCUAUACAAGUCCGCGCUCUCAAAUUUAGCUGCAAGGAAAAAAAUAUUAAACAUAAGUCUAAAUUCAUAGAGUAUUAAAUUUUUUUUUAUGCUUUUCAUAGUAAAAGGCGUGUGAUAUUUUGGUUUUCAAAUUUUAAUUUGCUGUAAUUUUUAGCUCGAACUUUAUAAAUUAUUGCAAUUAACUCCCACAACCAAAUUUAUUUGGCUAAAAACCAAUGAAUCACUGAUAUGGAAGUGAUCUAGAUUGUACAUCAUUAUUCAUCACUAUACUGCUAUAUUAUUUUCACAUUAGCGACAUAUCAAUAUUUAGCCAACUAAAUUGAAUUAUAUGACUUAAUUACAACGGUUUAAAAAAUUGGGGCUAGAAAAUUACAGUAAAUUAAAGUUUGAGAACCAAAAUAUCAUACGUCUCAUAGUCUAAGGAAAAAAAGUAUACUUCACCCAAUUGAAAAGUAUGAUAUUUCUCUUACCAAAAUCUCAACCAAGCAUUUAAUGUUAUGAUAUGCAAAUCUAUUGUAUUCUAAAACAUGCACUAUAAGGUCAAAUUCAAAACCAACCCCACUAGUUAAAUCAAACAAAUGAAUAAGCAAUUCUAUAUGAGGACAAGAAGGGUCCAAAUGGUUGUUAUCAUGUAAAUAAAGAGAAAGAAAAGAGGUAUGUAGGGUUGGAACAGGAGUAAGCCAUAUCACAUGAUAGGGGUCUCCACUGAGGAAGGCUCCAAAAACAUGGGGACUAGCUCAUGAGGUGGCUUAAUUUGAAUAACCACAAUUUAGACUCCAUACUCUCUUUUUUUCCUUUUUCUUUUUUUCUUUUUUUUUGACUUGUUGCAUUCAAUAGUUUUCUUCUUCCUUUUCACAUUAAUUUUCUAUGUGAAUUGGGUUUUUGGAAACAAUUAUAAAUCAAAGGCUGAAUUAAUUAUGAGAAUCUCCUUCGCACUUAAUAUCGUCUCAGACUCUCAGUUAUACUUUUGUAUUGAGAUUUGCGUUAAUUUUUAUCACUUAUUUAGAUAGUCUCGAAUACAUAGAUUUAAAAAUAUUUUAGAAUAAUUGUUGAAUUCGAUUUCUCCACUAAGAAAUUAAGGCUCCAAAUUAAAACAUAGUGAUUCAUGAGGUUGUUUUGAGUAGCCACAAUGUAGACUAUUUUAUCUUAUUCUUUGACUUGUUGCAUUCAAUAGUUUUCUUCUUAUUUUUCAUAUUCCCUUUGUGAAUUGAGUUAUGGCACCAAUUUGGACCACAAUAUGCUUCAAAUAAAUCAUAAGGGUGGCUUAUGAGAAUCUCCUUUUGUAUUAUAAAUUAUGUUAAUUAUUUUCAUCAUGUGUUUCGUAGCCUCAAAUAUAUAGAUACAAAAAAAAAGAAUAAUUGUUGAAUUCGAUUAGUAACAAAACUUCCCGAUAACAUUAAUUCUACAUUUCAAUAUCUUUCUAAUUUGCAAUAUAUAUAAUAGAUUUAAAAUUAGAUAAAGGAAAUAUCUUAUAAAUCCAUAGUUAUUAAACUAUAAAUUUAUUUAAUUGUUUCAAUAUUAGUAUCUUGAUGAAUACAACAACGCCACGUCUAUUUAACUUAUAUUUGUAAAGUUUUAUAACUGGAUUUAAUAAUCAUCUAAAUUUUUUUAACUUAUUUGAGACAGUGGCAUAUUCAAUUAUAUUACGUCUACAACUAUAUCCACUCACGCAAAAGUCUCUAAACUACGUGUUGGAUAUAUUGUUAUUUGAUAUACUGUUAUAUAUAAUCCAAAUAAUAUAUUCACAUAUAAGCCCAAUAGGUAAAAGCGUAUUAAAGCCCAUAUUUUUGGAGCCCAAUAGCUUAUUUAUUAAUUCUAGAAUUUCCUACGCUGGAGGUAACACUGUUGAGCGUUCCAAACUUGACGUCUCUUGGUGUAAUAUUUUAACCUCCAACAAUCUUAAAGUAUUACGAUCCUAUGUCGGAUUUGAGCGAGUAAGGUGUCGAUUCGAAGAUCUCGUCAAGACGAAUUCACCGGUAUAAUUUAUUUUCAAUUUCGACGAUCGGAUUGGCCGGGAUCUGAUUUUGAAAGUCAGGUGGCGGAAUUCUUUGAUUCAAAAAUCCAGAAAUUAUAGCCAAUUUCAGAGGGUGAAACCACUUGGGUUCUGUUCUACUCGUCGAUACGAACGUUUUGAGUGGUUACUCGUCUCGAACGGAGGUCGGACGACGAAGUUACGGCCAUUGAAAGUUUUUAGCAGUUUCCAGUGAAGAGGGCAGUUCAUCCUAAGGUUUUUGGGUGCUACGGAUCCAAUUUUGGGUUUGUUUUUGGCAAAUUCCACCUCUACAAAGCACUUUGAUUCAGAUCAGGGGCUUUAUUCGACUUUGCGAGAUCUGCGGACUACAAGGUGCACUCUUUCUAACACUUUGCUCUGAUUAAAUGGAAAAGCGUAGUUUUUUUGAUAUUAUAAAAUUGCAAUCAUUUGAUGUUACUGAAUUUCAUGGUUGGAAAUUACAUGUUUAAUUUGGCAUGAAAGAACGUGAAAUAUUCUAUACUGUUUUGAGUGAUUUUGCAUCUACCAUUGAAAAUGCGGAUGAAUAUCAAUGGAACAAAGAUGAAGAUUUUUGUAAAGAUUAUUUAUUGAACUCUUUAAAUCCUCGUCUAGCUAUGACUUAUAGUGAGUAUAAGACAGCGAAAGAGAUAUGGGAUCACUUGAACGCUCAGUUCCAAAAACAAGAGGGGCUUUCUUAAACUCUUCUAGCAGAGAAAUUUUUUGACUUUAAGUUCAAUAUGAAUUCAACUACCACCUCUCAAUUAAUUGAACUUGAGAACAUGAGGAACAAGCUGAAAGAUGAUAAAUCUAAUAUGUCUGAUAAUCUCUUUGUUGGUCUUGUAUUGAGUAAGUUACCUGCUGAAUGAAAUUCUUUCAAGACUGAAAUGCAUAGACUGAAAGAACAGAUGGGACUGGACGAAUUAAAGAGGUAUAUUCACAUUGAGGAUCAAAACAAUACUAGAAAGAAUUUAGAACAAGUAGGACAACAAAAGUCAGUUGCCAACUUAGUUUCACAUUUCAAUAAACCUCAGAAAAGGUCCAAGUCACCAAAAGGUGAAUCUUCUUCACAGCUAGAGGCCAAAAAGACUAUCUUCAAAAAAAAGAAGAAAGGAAAGUGCCAUAACUGUGAAAAGUGGGGUCACUGGGUAGCAGAGUGUAGACUACCAAAGAAGCCAAAGAAUAACACACCACAAAGUGAGGCUAAUAUGCUAAUUAGUGAAUCUGAGUCUCAAGCCUUUAUUGGAAUGAUGAUAAUUGGAAAGGCUAGUAUUUCUUCUGAGUGGUGGUUGGAUAGUGGCGCUACUUGUCAUGCUGCAAAUGACAAGAACCUACUCACAGAAGGCACAGAAGUGAAAGACACCGUGAAAAAUUGCAAUGGUGGUGAGGCAGAAGUGACUCAUACUGGAACUGCAAAUUUGGUGCUUUCUUCAGGUAAAUUACUAACUCUGAAACAUGUUAGAGUAGUAUCUUUACUUAAAAAGAAUUUGAUAUCUAUGAACUUACUUGAUAAAGCUGGUAUGUCAUUUUCAACUAUGAAUGGUAGAGUAACCUUAUCAGUUAACUCAUAUUAUUUUGGCUGUGCAUUCAUGGUUAAUGGUAUGUAUAGGUUGAGUUUAGAUACUGAUAGCAUAAACCAUGUGAGUUAUACUCUGAUUGAUCCAAAGUUAUUGCACAAUAGACUUGGACAUGUGAACUACAGGAAAAUGCAACAUCUAGCUAAAACUCACAACAUUCCACUGGAUACUUCUAUUCGAUUUGACAAAUGUGAAGUGUGUGCACAAGCUAAGAUCACUAGAAAACCUUUUAAGAUGGUUUCUAAAAGCACACAACUUCUCAAGCUAAUACAUUCUGAUCUUUGUGAUUUUAGAAAUUACGUCACUAGAGGUGGUCGAAAGUAUUUGAUAACAUUCAUAGACGAUUUUUCUAGACAUUGUCAUGUCUAUUUGUUGAAAUCGAAAGAUGAGGCUUUUGAAAAGUUUAAAAUUUUCAAAUCUAGAGUAGAAAAUCAACUCAACAUGAAAAUUAAGAGGUUUAGGAGUGAUAGAGGAGGAGAAUAUACAAUGACAGGGUUCAAGGAAUUUUGUGCUUCAGAGGGCAUAAUACUUGAAACCACUGCUCCUUACUCACCCCAAUCAAAUGGUGUUGCUGAGCGUAAGAAUAGAAUGUUAACUGAAAUGUUAAAUUCUAUGUUACUUACAGCUGGCAUGCCUUCCUCCUAUUGGGGAGAAGCGGUUCUAACUGCUAAUCACAUCUUGAGCAGGUUGCCACACUCUAAAUUGUCUAUGACACCUUAUGACAUAUGGCAUAAGCUAUGACACCUUAUGACAUAUGGCAUAAGCGUCCUUGUAGAUAUGAUACUCUUAAGACCUGGGGCUGUAUUGCUUAUGUAAGAAUACAAGAUCCAAAGAGGCCUAAGAUGGGACCUAGAACCAUUACCUGUGUAUAUCUAGGUAGUGCAGAAGAUAGUGCUGCAAAUAGGUUUUUAGAUCUAUCUACUAACACAGUGAUAGAAUCUAGAGAUGUAGAAUUCUUUGAGAAUAAGUUUCUCAGAGAUCAUGACUUGAAUGUUUCUGACACUAAUUCCACACAGCUGGCUGUUGAAUUAGUUCUAGUUAGAGUAUCUACAAGAGAGAGAGUUUCCAAAAGUUUUGGUGAGAACUUUGUUACUUACCAUCUCGAGGAUGAUCGAUUUUCUUAUCAAGAGGCAAUGAGAUCUAGAAAAUCCCUACUGUGGGCAGAAGCCAUAGAUGAUGAAAUGAGCUCUCUGUUGCAGAACCACACUUGGCAGCUAGUCAAUUUGCCAAAAGGGGCUAAGGCUAUAGGCUGUAAGUGGGUAUUGGAAAAGAAACUGAAUAGUGAUGGAUCAAUAGCCAGAUACAAAGCACGCUUAGUAGCUAAAGGCUAUAAACAGCAGAGUGGAAUAGACUAUUUUGAUGUUUAUUCACCUGUGUCUCAUCUAUCAACUAUAAGAAUUCUUCUUGCUUUGGCAUCUAUUGAACACUUUGUAGUGCAUCAAAUGAAUGUAAAAACAGCUUUUCUAAAUGGAGAGUUAAAUGAAGAAAUCUAUAUGGAACAACCGGAAGGGUAUGUCAUUAAAGUUCUUGAGGACAAAGUUUGUAAAUUGAAUAAAUCUUUGUACGGUCUCAAAUAAGCACCUAAGAUGUGGCAUCUUAAAUUUGACAAAGUGGUAAAGAGUUAUGGCUUUCAAUCUAACUAUUCAGAUAAAUGCCUUUACCAUUGUUCUGUGUCAAAUAAGAUAGUCAUCAUUUGCUUAUAUGUUGAUGAAUGUUAAUUCUUAACUCCGAUCAUUCUAUAGUGAGUGACGUGAAAGCUACUUUAGCUAAAGAAUUUGAUAUGAAAGAUCUUGGUAUUGCUAAUACCAUUCUUGGUAUGAAAGUAAGAUUUGAAAGGCAAGUCAUCUCCCUUAGCCAGACUCAUUAUAUUGAGCAGCUACUUUCUACCUGGGGAUAUAGUGAUUGUAAAUCGAGUGAGACACCAUGUGAUUAUAAUAAAAGACUGAGUCUUAGUGAAGGAACCAGUGUGGAUCAAUUAAAGUACUCAAAACUGAUUGGUAGUCUCAUAUAUACUAUGAGUUGCACUAGACCCGACAUCGUCUUUACAGUUGGCAUGCUGAGUCGUUUCACUAGUAAUCCUAGUAAAGAGCAUUGUAGUAGGCUGAUGAGAUACCUUAAAGGUACGAAAGAUUAUGCUCUGUGUUAUUCUGGUUAUCCUCCAACUGUGGAUGAAUAUUCUGAUGCCUCAUGGUGCUCAGAAAUUAAAAAUAGUAAGUCCACAAAUGGAUAUGUAUUCACUUUAGGUGGAGCUGCUAUUACUUGGAAAUCCAAAAGACAGACUUGUAUUGCCUUGUCGUCUAUGGAAUCGGAACUUUUAGCUUUAGCUUCCGCUGGCGAAAUAGCAGAAUAGAUAAAGAAUCUGAUUUUGGAUAUUCCUUUGACUGGGCUACAGAUUAAUUUUUUUAGCCUGUUCUGUGAUAAUCAAGCAGCUGUCCAAGUUGUCAAGAAUGCUUUCUUUAAUUCAAAGAGAAGACAUGUGAGACUGAGACAUGCGUUGUUGAAUUAUCUGAGAGAACAAGGAGUUAUCACCUUGAUCGAUGUGAGAUCGAAGAAUAACAUGGCCGAUAGCACUACAACAGAAUUAGGUUAUAGGGACACAUGUUUGGGACACUUUUGAGUAAGUGUCCAUUUAUGCUAAAACUUAAAAAAAUAUCUGCUAAUGCCUAAAUAUAAAGUCCAAUCCAACCAAAAAUAAAAGAUUACUCUACUCAACCCACCACACCCAGUCCAUUUGGCCCGAUUACAAACAGAAAAGAAAAAAAAAAAGAAAAAUCAAUUGUCAUCUUUUCUUCUCUCUUCACUCAAUCCACUGAAAUUCUAGACGAAAAGCCUUUCCUGUCGUCCUCCUCCGCCACCGCAGCCAACGAGAUAGAGUUUCGGAGGUUGCUAAAUGCUUAAAUAAGUGUUGGUAAAUUAGCAGCACUCUUUUAGGUUAUAGUGACACUCUUUAACUGUCACUAUAUACCUAGCGACCCUACAUAUAGCAACACUUUUUAAAAGUGUCGGUAAUUUUAGCUAGCAGCACUUUUUUGACAUGUACCUACAUUUAAAAGUGUCACUAUAGACCGUUUUUGUUGUAGUGUAGUGAUACUCUCACAAAAGGUAUGCCUAAAGAUCGAUUAUUCAAAACAGUGGGGGAAAUGGGGUUAAAGACUAUGUAAAUUAGUCUUAAUUACCAUUUACUUACCUUCUAAUUGUAUGUUUUGAAUUAUCGAAUCUUCCUUCCUUUGGUGGUCAAGCACAAUUUAUAUGUUUCAUAGAUGUUCAUGGUUGCGGACUAAUUGAAAAAGGUGAGUUGUUUCAUUCCAAACUUAAUGAAAAUGACUUUAACCUAGUUCAAAGUUCUACCUGGAAGGCUUGUGUCAUUCCAAACUUGAUGAUACAAUCCAACUAGGCUGGACUAUUCUUUUCUUAAUUAAAUGAUCUCACUCCAAACUUGAUGCUAGAUUAUUUGACUUUAAAGAAUUAGUAACUGUGACAUUCCAAAUUGAAACAUAGAAAUAGCUAUCUGCAUAAGAAGCCUAUUGGUUUUGGUCAUGUUCUUUGAAACUAGACAAUGUUUAUUCUCUUACAAAUAAACUUAAGUUGAUGGCUCUUUGUAAAUCAAAUUAUUUAGGCUUUAUUCAUAAUUUAUGAAACUGGCUUGAUGCUUGUGAACAUGAUAUUAUGAUGCUUUAUGACAUUAAUAUAUGUUCUUCUCUGCCUGAUGUUAUGGUGCUAAGUUCUUUUAGUAGAACUAGACAUUUUUAGUGAAUUAUUCAAAUGAUUAAAUUCAUGAUAAUAUGAAAUUUAUAUUUGAUAUUCUACAGAGGAUGGCAGGGAUGGAGGAGAGCUUAAUAAGUGAGAUCCAGAUCAGGAUGAUCUAUUUGAUGAAUGAAUAUAUAUAUAUCAUUUAGAGUGUACGGGGACUUGACAGUUCACCUACUAUUACCUGUUUUGAUGGAGUCCAUUUACUUAAGACUUGCUUUUGCUAUCUUUAUUUUGUGAAUAUUAUUAUGUCUUUUUCUUGCAUUUGUAAGGCCUUGGAUUAUUUUGACUGGCCUACUUAUAUUUGACUGUUAUGUAUAUGUUGGUUGUGAACUGAUUUUGAGAAUCAUUUUGGAUAUGUCGAUCUCAGAACAGAUUCAUGAUAAGAAUGAUUCACUCAUUUGAAUUAUAAUUGAUGAUUGAGUUUUUAAUUCAAGUUGAUUGUUUUGGACUGAAUGUGGAUGAUUCAUAAUUGUUUGAACAUUACACUGACCACUAUAUUGGAUUGUGCUGUAUGGUGAACAUAGAAGGAGAUUGUUGGAUAUAUUGUUAUUGGAUAUACUGUUAUAUAUAAUCCAAAUAAUAUGUUCACAUACAAGCCCAAUAGGUGAAAGCGUAUUAAGGCCCAUAUUUCUGAAGCCCAAUAACUUGUUUAUUAAUUCUAGGGUUUCCUACGCUGAAGGUAACACUGUUGAGCGUUCUAAACUUAACGUCUCUUGGUGUAAUACUUUAAGCACCCAAAAAUCCAUCUAUUCUCUAAAACGAUAACCUCCAACACUACGCACGCUGGAGACUACGUGCACCGAAUAUAUUGACAUGAAAAUAAAAUCUUUGAUCUACCA